AGAGGACACUGCUAAUCGUUACUCCAGAAUAUUCUUUCCUGUACAAGUGAUUCGCAUGCUGUAACCCUCAGUGCAUAUGUGUAACACAUGUCAGAAUUUUUUAAAAGUUCAUGGAGUUCUGGAAGAAAUGAAACC